AUUGAACGCUGGCGGCAUGCCUUACACAUGCAAGUCGAGCGGCAGCGCGGGGGCAACCCUGGCGGCGAGCGGCGAACGGGUGAGUAAUGCAUCGGAACGUGUCCUCUUGUGGGGGAUAACCAGUCGAAAGACUGGCUAAUACCGCAUGAGAUCGAGAGAUGAAAGCAGGGGACCGCAAGGCCUUGCGCGAGAGGAGCGGCCGAUGCCGGAUUAGCUAGUUGGUGGGGUAACGGCCUACCAAGGCGAUGAUCAGUAGCCGGUCUGAGAGGAUGGCUGGCCACACUGGGAUUGAGAUACGGCCCAGACUCCUACGGGGGGCAGCAGUCUAGAAGCUUCGGCAAUGGGGGAAACCCUGACCGAGCGACGCCGCGUGCGGGACGAAGGUCUUCGGAUUGUAAACCGCUUUCGAUCGGGAUGAACGGCAGGGGGGUUAACAGCUCUUCUGUUCGACAGUACCGGGAGAAGAAGCCCCGGCUAACUCCGUGCCAGCAGCCGCGGUA
rnacentral:rRNA from 1 species